rnacentral:misc_RNA from 1 species
GAUGAAGAACGUAGCGAAAUGCGAUAAUUAAUGUGAAUUGCAGAAUUCCGUGAAUCAUCGAGUCUUUGAACGCACAUUGCGCCUCAUGGCAUUCCGUGAGGCAUGCCCAUCUCAGCGUUAGAAAAUAUUCUCAAAUUUUAGUUUUGUGCUAAAAUUUGGAUCAUGUCAAGGAAGCUAUUACUAUUAUUGUGAUCGCUCUUUGGAAAUUGAUAGGUCUUUGAGUUGCUACUCAUAGAACGUGAUGAAUCUUUCUUCGUUCUAUUGUAAUUCACUCUGGUAGUCCUAAAACUUGUAUGCCUGUGGCAUAUCUUGUAAUUUGACCUGAGAUUGGGUAGGGAUACCCGCUGAACUUAAGCAUAUAAUAAGCGGAGGA